GAUGAAGAACGUAGCGAAAUGCGAUAAGUAGUGUGAAUUGCAGAAUUCAGUGAAUCAUCGAAUCUUUGAACGCACAUUGCGCCCCUUGGUAUUCCAUGGGGCUUGCCUGUUCGAGCGUCAUUUGUACCUUCAAGCUUUGCUUGGUGUUGGGUGUUUGUCUCGCCUUUGCGUGUAGACUCGCCUUAAAAUAAUUGGCAGCCGGCGUAUUGAUUUCGGAGCGCAGUACAUCUCGCGCUUUGCACUCAUAACGACAGCGUCCAAAAGUACAUUUUACACUCUUGACCUCGGAUCAGGUAGGGAUACCCGCUGAACUUAAGCAUAUCAAUAAGCGGAGGA
rnacentral:misc_RNA from 1 species